rnacentral:rRNA from 2 species
UUCGGUGGCUAUAGCGAGAGGGUCACACCCGUUCCCAUCCCGAACACGGAAGUUAAGCCUCUCAGCGCCGAUGGUACUGCAUUUUUCAAGUGUGGGAGAGUAGGACGCCGCCGGAA